rnacentral:rRNA from 1 species
AUACGGAGGGAGCAAGCGUUAUUCGGAAUCACUGGGCGUAAAGGAUGCGUAGGCGGAUAAUCAAGUCAAAAGUGAAAUCCCACGGCUUAACCGUGGAACUGCUUUCGAAACUGGUUAUCUAGAAUAUGGAAGAGGCAGAUGGAAUUAGUGGUGUAGGGGUAAAAUCCGUAGAGAUCACUAGGAAUACCGAUUGCGAAGGCGAUCUGCUGGGACAUUAUUGACGCUGAGGCAUGAAAGCGUGGGGAGCAAACAGGAUUAGAAACCCCAGUAGUCC